rnacentral:rRNA from 1 species
ACGGGGGGUGCGAGCGUUGUCCGGAAUCACUGGGCGUAAAGGGCGCGUAGGUGGCCUGAUAAGGGUGUGGUGAAAGUCCGGGGCUCAACCCCGGAUCGGCCGUGCCGACUGUCAGGCUAGAGUACUGUAGGGGCAGGCGGAAUUCCGGGUGUAGCGGUGGAAUGCGUAGAGAUCCGGAGGAAGACCGGUGGCGAAGGCGGCCUGCUGGGCAGUUACUGACACUGAGGCGCGACAGCGUGGGGAGCAAACAGGAUUAGAUACCCUGGUAGUCCACGCCGUAAACGAUGGGUACUAGGUGCCUGGGGGAGCGACCCCUUGGGUGCCGGCGCUAACGCAGGAAGUACCCCGCCUGGGGAGUACGGCCGCAAGGCUG